rnacentral:sRNA from 1 species
AACCAGCAGUUGUUGAGAGGCAUGCAGUCGUUUAAAGUCCUGGCAGAGUGUCCGAUCAUUGUCGUGUCGAUAUUUCAAGCACAUCGUAGUGUCGUUUCCACCAGCGUCAAGGUCUUCGUGCCCUUAAUCAAAGGCAUUCUACUCCUACAGGCGAAACCGCAAGAAAAGGCACAUGCGGAGGCUGCAGCUCAGGGGAUGAUUUUCACUGGCGUGUGCAAGGAGAUCAAGAACAGAGCGGCCUUUGGCGAGUUUAUCACUGCGCAAGUGAAGACGAUGAGCUUUCUCGCUUAUCUGCUUCGGGUGUAUGCGAACCAGCUGCAGGAUUUCCUUCCGUCCCUUCCAGGUGUCGUUGUGCGACUUUUGCAGGAUUGCCCGCGUGAGAAAUCAAGUUCUCGAAAGGAGUUACUAGUCGCCAUACGUCAUAUCAUCAAUUUUAAUUAUCGCA